CUGGGCGGCAUGCCUUACACAUGCAAUUCUGAACGGCAGCGCGGGGCAACCUGGCGUGCCAGUGGCGAACGGGUGAGUAAUAUAUCGGAACGUACCCUGGAGUGGGGGAUAACGUAGCGAAAGUUACGCUAAUACCGCAUACGAUCUAAGGAUGAAAGUGGGGGAUCGCAAGACCUCAUGCUCCUGGAGCGGCCGAUAUCUGAUUAGCUAGUUGGUGGGGUAAAGGCCUACCAAGGCAUCGAUCAGUAGCUGGUCUGAGAGGACGACCAGCCACACUGGAACUGAGACACGGUCCAGACUCCUACGGGAGGCAGCAGUGGGGAAUUUUGGACAAUGGGCGAAAGCCUGAUCCAGCAAUGCCGCGUGAGUGAAGAAGGCCUUCGGGUUGUAAAGCUCUUUUGUCAGGGAAGAAACGGUGAGGGCUAAUAUCCCUUGCUAAUGACGGUACCUGAAGAAUAAGCACCGGCUAACUACGUGCCAGCAGCCGCGGUAAUACGUAGGGUGCAAGCGUUAAUCGGAAUUACUGGGCGUAAAGCGUGCGCAGGCGGUUUUGUAAGUCUGUCGUGAAAUCCCCGGGCUCAACCUGGGAAUUGCGAUGGAGACUGCAAGGCUAGAAUCUGGGCAGAGGGGGGUAGAAUUCCACGUGUAGCAGUGAAAUGCGUAGAGAUGUGGAGGAACACCGAUGGCGAAGGCAGCCCCCUUGGGUCAAGAUUGACGCUCAUGCACGAAAGCGUGGGGGAGCAAACAGGAUUAGAUACCCUGGUUAGUCCACGCCCUAAAC
rnacentral:rRNA from 1 species